CGGGAAGAGCUCAAAUUUGAAAUCUGGCGUCCUCAGGGCGUCCGAGUUGUAAUCUAUAGAGGCGUUUUCCGUGCCGGACCGUGUCCAAGUUCCUUGGAACAGGAUAUCAAAGAGGGUGACAAUCCCGUACUUGACACGACGACCGGUGCUCUGUGAUACGUCUUCUACGAGUCGAGUUGUUUGGGAAUGCAGCUCAAAAUGGGUGGUGAGUUCCAUCUAAAGCUAAAUAUUGGCGAGAGACCGAUAGCGAACAAGUACCGUGAGGGAAAGAUGAAAAGCACUUUGGAAAGAGAGUUAAACAGUACGUGAAAUUGUUGAAAGGGAAACGAUUGAAGUCAGUCGUGACCGAGAGGCUCAGCCGGUUCUGCCGGUGUAUUCCCCUCGGUCGGGUCAACAUCAGUUUUGUCCGGUGGAUAAGGGCGGUAGGAAGGUGGCACCCUCGGGUGUGUUAUAGCCUGCCGUCGCAUACAUCGGGUGAGACUGAGGAACGCAGCUCGCCUUUAUGGCCGGGGUUCGCCCACGUCCGAGCUUAGGAUGUUGACAUAAUGGCUUUAAACGACCCGU
rnacentral:rRNA from 1 species